GCUAAAUUCAAUCAUAGUAAGAAUAAUUAGGGGCGCGGCCACUUUGAGUGACAGGUCCGUGCUGUUGCUAGCAGCUAGCUGUGUCUCCUCAGCUAAUCCCAGUCACUGAACUUGACCUCUCAGUCGGGAUUUCCUUCAUGCUAAAAUCGGACAUAAUACGGUUUUCUGUGCGGUUAAUUGUACUAACUAAGAAGUCUGAGCUCUAGCUUUCCGUGAAAGUGACAUUCUAGUAGGCUAUUCUUUCAUUUAGGUGUUAGCACUAGCAGGAAUCGAUGUAUGUGCUCACCAUACCUAGCUUGUUAGCUUAGCUUUUGUACUAAAAAGCACUCUAAAGACUCUGCUCUUCUUUCCCCCGGUCCUGCUGCAGUCUCAGCUGAACACAGUGAAACACCCACAGGAUCCCCGCACCCUGCCUGCUGCUGUUACUACUGCACCGCUGAGAGCCGAGAGGCCAUGCAACAAGUGACGGCUUGGAAAGAGGCAGAAGAGAGAGAGAGAAUCGAACCCGGGCCGCUGUGCUAUGGACCCAGACUUGAUACUUGGGGCUUGCUCUCCACCAGGUGAGCGACGGGGAC